CGUGGGUCCCACUCCCACAAUCAAAUAUUAUUUUCCUCCACUCACUCCCUCUCACCCGUUCUCUCACGCUCUCUCCCCCUCAUUCACGUUUCUUUUCUUCCUUCCAACUACAACUUCUUCUUUCUUUUCUCUGCAACUCACGCACAACACCUUCUUCUUCUUCAAUUUAUUUCUGCUGCAAAACCCAUCACCAUCACUUCCUUUUCUCUUCACAACAGCACCAGUUACUCCUUCUCCUCUCAUGGCCGCCACCACAGCGAGCCUUCUCCUCUGCUCACGCAAACCACCACUUCCAUGCCUCUUCACCGCGAACGCACCACCACCAUUGGUGACCGCCGCCGCCUCUCCUCAGUUCUCCAGCAAGCAUGGCGGCCACAACCGCCAUCACCCACUCCCAGCGCCAUGAACGGCGCCACCAACGCAAGGACAAGAGAGAAAACGAAACCCUAAAAACCGCCACCUUCCAACUCCGAUCUCCGGCGAACCACCGAGUUUUUGGAGAAACCAACCACACCAUGGAACUCCCCUCGACGUGCGCUGCAAAACCCCUAAAGAAAUUUCUGAUUCCGACAACCUUCGUCGGGAACUGCCGCAGGCCACCGUGACCACCGUCUUCUCCGGCCAACCUUCGCCGGAGAUGUCACUGAACUCAGAACCAGGAAGCUCUCCUCCUCCUCUUGCUGAAUUGAUUAUCAAUUUUGGAGCUUGAUGGUCCUCAGAGGAAGGCAGAACCUGCUGUUAGAGAGGAUGAAGAAGCAAUACAGAACCUUAGCCAUGAGGCUUAAGGUCGAAAAGGAUAUAUUUUUCUGUUUUGGGUAUCGUUUUAAUUCUUGUAGGGCUGAAAUUUUUUUUGAAAAUGUAAGAGCAUUGGAGAUGGUUAAUCUCUAGUUAGUUAUGUUGUUUAUGUAUAGAUUACCUCUGGAUGAGCAUGGGUUCGAUAUUAGAUUAGGAGAAAUUUCUGCUGCUGUUGUCUUGUGAUUGUAGUAGCCACUGUUCUCCCAAAAUUCGUGUGUUUCGGUUCAGAUUUUGGAACUGUGUUCUUCAUAAAAGUUGUAGCAUUUUCUGUUAGAAAACUUUUGCCACUGGUUGCAUGUAAUUUCUAUUUCUCUAGCUCAAGUUAUACGCAUUUUAGUGAGCACGGGUUAAGCUGUCCCGUUUCUCACGAACUGCUGUAGUAUUUGAUUUUUCCUGAAUUUUGUACUUCGAAUUUGGACUUGAAAAUUUAUGAGGAUUUACAAAACCUGUAGAUGAAGUCAGGAUAAAAA